ensembl:miRNA
GAGGGGAAAGACGGGAGAAGAGAAGGGAGUGGUUAAUGCGACUCCUCACUCCUCCCCUCCCGUCUUGUUCUCUC